CUUAAUUACGGGUAUGAACCAACGCAAGGACAACGUCUCACAAACCCGCAACAAAAGAUUUGAAGGCGACACAAUUGGUAAUUUAAUUUUCCAUCAGGUAAGUAAAAACUAGUCCUGCAAAAUAUUUGAUAAUUCAGAUAGUACCAAUUUUUAUUGGAAAAAAGUUACAUAAGAACCAAAUAUUAGUAUUAUUUGCGGAAAAUUAAACUUUACAAAUUACAAUGGUUCUUCUUAGUUUAGUCUUACUUGUCCACCAUUGUUUUAUUUCAAGUACUCCAUACUAUUCGAUUUGUUUUUGUUCGUUGCUCUUAUUUUAUUGCUUUUGAAAGUUGGAUAGUUUAGGGGUUUUUUGUUGAGAAAUUAUUUAUCUCCAAAAGACUCCAACAUGGCUAUUUUUGGUAUUUUCAUAUCUAUGCAUCUUCUUCUAAUUCGUAAUAAGGUAACACCAUUUCAUUAUCAACUAGUGUGUAGCUCGGACGAUGCUUCUCAGUUUUUACUUCGAAUAAUACUGCUAUGUUUUAAACUUAUAUUUUUUGGAUUAGUUUGUUAUGUAUGUUUAUGUUCUUAGUUACAUAUUUCUUGUUAAACAUAUGUGAUAGCUAAUGAGGUUCCAUGUGGAAAAGUAUAUUUUAUAUGGAACGCCUUUUCAUAUAUUAGUAUAGAUUGGUACUUAGGUAGUACCAUUAACUUAAAAGAGGCAUAAGUACCAAAUGGCUACGUUACUCCGACACCUUCAUUUACCUCAAAAACCGGGUGUCGUGUCGUACACGACACGAUACUUCACUUGGAUACUUCAUUUUAAACUAAAAACUUGUCUUUUUUUUAUGAAAUAGCCGAGUCGGACACUUGGACACCCGUAUCCGAGUAGACACUCAAUCCGUGUCUGAGUAACAUAGCCAAAUGGUACUAAAUAGAAGAGGUACAUGUACCAAAUUACCUUGGUGGAGUCUGUUUGGUACUCAACUCAACUAGUUGGUUGGCAAGAAUUUUUUUUGUUGGGCCUCUGGAUGAGUAUGUGCAAGGACAACACAGAGGAAAUUCAUCUUAAUAUGGGGUUUUCGGAAGAGGGUCCCAAAAAAAAAUGUAAGUAUAUUUUACCAAAAGUCAAAAUCUCCAAAUUUUGGAGAUAAACACCAAUCACAAGGUAUGAGACGACCCAAAAGCAUUUUAUCACAGACACUUUUGUAAGCCUAGUUGGGUGUUGAGCAUUUAUUUGUAAGAAUGGAAUUUCUUUCCAUGGAUAAUGCAACUUCGGAAAGGAAUAUUUAAGAAAUACUUCACCGGUUCUUUUUCUAUUGUAAUAAUUACUACUUUGAGUAGUUUUACAUAUAUUGCAACAAUUCCAUUUUUGAUAAAUCAACUUCAAUUGAUAAUAUUGGUCUUACUUUAUCUCACUCAAACCAUCAUUAAUUACUCAUAUUGCCUCAUAAAGUUGUUUUUACUUUUAUUUCUCAGCUACUCUGAAUAAUUAAAGGGGUACUUUUGUUGUAAACUACUCAUCUUUUUCAUUUCUUUGAAAUUCCUGACCAAACCCAUUGUUAAAAUUAUAGAAAAAGAACGGAGGAAGUAGGCCUUAUGAUUCUUGCUCAAGCUGGAUGAUGAAAAAUUAUCAUGAAGUUCAUGUUGAAAUGUUUUUAGACUCAAAAGACAGUCAAACCAGAAAUAAUAGUUUGAGGAAAUAUGAUAUUCAGUUUGGGAAUAAAGUACCCAGGAGUGGACUUUUCAUACCAAUCAUAAGGAUGAACUUGGAGUUCCUCAAUCCUCAUAGUACUUGGAAGUUGUAACAUCCUCCUUAACUCUCUUUUCAGAAUAUUAAUUUUGUACAUAUUCAAACUUGUCCCUUGGCCCCAAAUCAUUUUGUUGUACUUUGUUUUAAGAAUAUCUUUAUAUUGUACUUUGUUUUGCAUAACAUGAGGCUUCAUUCUUGGUAUGCUUUGUAUCUACUGGAUUCUGUGGCUGACAACUUGGUCCUAACUCCUGAUUAAUCUAGUGUUGCUAUAUUAUAAUCGCUUGCCUGAAUUAUUAGUGUUGUUAAUUAGUGGAGAAAUAGCUGUUUUAUUAUAGGAGACAUGGUUGUAUAUUUGAUCAAGUCAAUGGAGCUGGUAGUCUGGUACCAUGAGGCAUGAGUUAUAUUCUAUUGUAUAUACCUUCUGAAUAACACAGAGUGAAUGGUCAAACUCUUUAUCUGAUGUCAUCUGUUUGAUGGACUCAUUAGCAUAGAAGAAAGAAUCAGAAUAAUCAUCGAGAAUCUGGGACAUUAGACAAUGGACUAAAACAUGUUUUUCAUAGAGGAAAAGUAGUUAACUAUUCUCUGAUGAGCUUGUCACAGCUUCGAGUAGCAUCUUGAUAUCGUCUUCCAUUAUAUCCGGGUUCUGGCAAAGACAAGGGCUUCAUUAGAAUGAAUGGGAAAUUUGAUUUUACUACCGAGUGUCGAUCUUUGUCAUAAGGAAACAUGGGUGCUUGCUUUGUUCAUAAUUUAUAUGGUGGCAAAGUAAGUAUAUAACUUCCAGAGAAAAGUUUUUGAGAGAGCAUAUCAACCAAGCAUGGAACAAAAGAAAUUUAGGGCGCUUGCUUUUUUCUUGCUCACUGCCCUCCUCAUCCUGGUCAUUGUUGUUGCUGUUUUCUUGAAAGCAUCCUGGAUUUUCUUCACUGUCCUCGGAAUUUGUACAGUAUUGACCUUGGUCAUAAUUGUAUGGGUGAUCAUACAACAAGAAAAGCUGUCCAGAAACAAGGAAGUUACUAGUUUUGAGAAAGGGUCAGGCCUUCCAACAAAGUUCCUAUAUGAAGAACUUAUGGUAGCUACAGAUAAUUUCAGCUCGAUUGUGGGCCAAGGAGGAUCAGGGUGUGUCUUUAGAGGAAUACUGAAGGAUGGGACUUGCAUUGCUGUGAAGAGGAUGGAAGGCCAGGAACGCGGAGAGAAGGAAUUUCGAGCUGAAGUAGCUGCAAUUGGGUGUGUGCAGCACGCGAACCUUGUACGUGUGUAUGGUUAUUGCAUCAUCCCAAAAGGACCUCGCUUCCUUGUUUAUGAGUUUGUCCAAAAUGGAUCGUUGGAUCGUUGGAUUUUCCCUCGGGAACACGACAAAAAGCAGCUGCAAGGUGGUUGCUUGCCCUGGAAAGUAAGGCAUCAAGUAGCCAUCGACGUGGCCAGGGCCCUCCAUUACCUCCACAAUGAUUGUCAGUCAAGGAUUCUGCACCUUGAUGUUAAGCCAGAAAAUAUACUUCUUGAUGAUAAUUAUCGAGCAAUUGUAUCAGAUUUUGGGCUGGCAAAGUUAAUGGGUAAAGAGGAAAGUAUGGUCGUUACAAGAAUCCGAGGGACUAGGGGGUACUUGGCCCCUGAGUGGAUCUUAGAGAAAGGAGUUUCUGCAAAAACUGAUGUUUAUAGUUACGGAAUGCUGCUCCUUGAAAUGAUUGGAGGUCGGAGGAAUGUCCUCAUGUUGUCUUGUGGAGAUGGCGAGGGAAAGUCCACAAUGCCUCCUGAUAUGCAAUCAUGGGAAUAUUUCCCCAAAACUGUUUUUGAGAAAUUGAAAGCAGGGAAGAUCAUGGAGGUGGUUGACAAAAGACUCUUGGAAGAAGGAUCAGUCAUUGAUGAAGAUGAGCUAAGAAGACUAAUCUACAUAGCAUUGUGGUGCAUUCAAGAGAAGGUCAAGAUUAGGCCUAACACGGGUCAGGUGGUUAACAUGCUCGAAGGUCGUUUGUGUGUAGAUGAGCCCCCAGAAACCAAAAUGUUCCUCCACGAUCUUUUGCUACUCAAGACAGAGAAAAAAGCUGCUUUGCAUAUCUCUCAACCUCCUAACGUUCAACUUGAAGUGUCUUGAUGUUUGGUGUAGUCUAAAUGACGAGCAGGAGUUGCAUAAACUAUGCUGAGCGAGUCACAGGAGAAAGAGUCACUAUAUGUCCUUGAAAAAAUGAUGAAAAAAGAAGGAAGAUUACUUUCUUCCUCAAAUUACAUCUUAUUAUUAUAGCUUUUGAGGCUAUGAUGGAUGACAAGAGAUCUAAGAUACUUGUUCUGGU